rnacentral:lncRNA from 1 species
CUUUUGGUGGUCCUCUGAAGAUGGAAACUGUGAUAGACAGAACUCUGCUUCCUGAAGAGAAACUACGUAUUGAGUAUGCAUGAUCUGUGUGCCCGGAUGUCAUCUUUACCUGCUUUGUUCUGUGUCUUGUCAAAGAGGAUUGCUUUGGGGAGCAGUGUGUCUGUACACUCUGGAUGAACCCCUCUGAAGCAGGAGACAACCGGAGAAUUUCUUGGUGCAGAAAAUCCACUCAUUUGGUGUCAGAAGUGUUAGCCAGCACACUGGACCCAGCUGAUUCUAAGGAGCAGAGUGGAUGGCCCGUUACACCUAGAACCCUUGGCAUCCAAAUUGUCAGCAACUCAUCGGCUAGUGUUUCUUUCUUGAAGGGCGAAGUCUCAAUCCUCAGAUGUUCUAAGAGAGUCUGGGUCUUGCCAGCUUGCCUACUCUGGUCUGGAACUCUUGGGCUCAAGCAAUCCUCCCACCUUGGCCCCCCAAAGCAUAAGGAUUACAGAUCAGGAUAG